rnacentral:tRNA from 1 species
AAAAUAUAGUUUAUGGAAAAACAUUCAAUUUCGACUUGAAAGAAAUUUGGAAGGAUAAUUAAUUUUA